CCAUAUUAUUUUCAUUUGUACCUAUGGAAAGCCUGGGUGCUGAUGUGUUGAGCCGUUCUGCUUUGUGCCAAGGGAUCAGAAUGCCGAGUGGCCAGCCCAAGGUGGCUGGGGAAAGCAGCAGUUCCCAUCUUAUCACCCAGCUGUGCUCUGCUUGCUAUUUCUUGGCCUUAGGCCUGGGACCUGGGCCAACGCCAAUUAAAUUGGUGAGGGCACAGACAAGGUUAAUGACAAAGUUAAUCUCCCAUCACUUAUUGGUGAGGGAACCUCAGAAUUGGUUGGUGGUUUUUAUCUGUUUGCAGUUAACAGGAGAGCAGAGUAGAAGGUCUCCCUAAUUCCAGGCUGGGUCCCGUUGCAGAAGAUUACCCAAAAGUACCAAUCUCUUCACUGAUACAUACAGCACAGGGAUGGCAAUUUGCUUCUACUGAAAAGGGUGUUAGAGAAACACCAUGGGAAAUUAGUACUCGGGUCACCUGAGAAGCGUGCGGACUUUCCAUUAUUGGAGGAUAUUAAAGGCAGCUGAAUGAAUUGGCUUGAUCCCUUAUUAGGUGUCCAGGAUCAAUGGAAAUUAGGGAAAGUGAGUUGCAUAUGCAAUGAGCCUGUUCCCUGGAGGCUGGGCCCUCUGUCUUGCCAUGAAUGCUGGAAGGAAGCUGUGACUGAGCAAAGCAGAAGCCAUCAGAGAAAGAAGAGGAAGCAUUUGUGAGUUAUGCAGUUGUGUUAGAUUAUUAGAUUAAAAAUUAGGUUCUGUCCUUGCCUUUUCCUGCUGUGCCUGACUGCCUGGGGACUCUGACACGUGGGGGCUGGGAAGAGCAAUUCCGUUUGGGUGAAAGCACAGGAGGAGUGUGCUCGACUGGGGUUGAGAAUCAUGGAACCAUUAAGGAUGGAAAGACCACUAAGAUCAUCUAGUCCAACCGUCAGCCCAUCAGAGCUGCAGAAGGGGGCUGAGCGCAGUCUCAGCUCCUGGCAUUCGUUAGCUGUCUUCUUGUCAGAGCUGAAGAGCCUCUGUAUGAAAGAGAAAAUGAGGGUAACGCUCAUCGCUCGGUCACUGAUGUGGAGCAGUGGCUUAGCAUGGCCUAGGCAGGGGUGAAAUGUGGCUGCAGCCUGAGAGGGGAGCGGAGUGGGAGGUGAGGAGCAGCCACAGUUUGGCAAAAUCAAGCUUUCAGAGGUGAGAAGAAAAGGUAAUUUUACAGUCACUGGAGAUGCAGCGGAGGAUAACUCGGGAAAAAAGAAACCAAACAAAAACAAAAACAAAAAAAACUCGAUUAGUUCUCGCGCAGAAAGCAGGGCUCUCACCCUCAAGCCCGAUGGGCAGCACCGGGCAGUGCCGGGCGGCGGCGGCCACGGGGCGGCGGUGUUGGGCAGCGCUCCCGCGGGCCGGGGCAGGCCGGGGCUGGUCGGGGUAGGGGCACGGCCCUGCGCGGGGCCGCGGCGCCAUUUGGUGGCUGCGGGGCCCACGGGGUGGGACUGGGCACGUCCCAAGCGGGCGGCUUUGGGGCAGAUCCUGGCGGGUUCCCAGAGCAGUGGCGGGGAGAUGAGGCGCGGAGAAGCAGGACGGAGGGCUGAGGCAGCUCGGCGGGGCCGCGGUGCAGCAGCGAGGUGUGGGAAGUCGAAGCAUGCAGCAGCCGCCGAGUGUCUCUGAGCAAGUGUCAGAGUGUCUUGGCAACAGCAGGAGAUGUCUGCAACUUUUCCUCACUCCUGCAGAAAGCACGUCAUGUAGGCAGGGCGGCGGUGCGUGAACGCAGCGGUGUGGGCUUGGGUUUGAAGUGUGCGCGCAGAGAGCAAAGGCUGCUCUGCUCCGGGCAGGGACCUGAGAGCUCUGUGGCAGAGGCUCUGGCAUUUCUCUCUGGCCAU